CAUUACCGAGUUUACAACUCCCAAACCCAUGUGAACAUACCUACUGUUGCUUCGGCGGGAUUGCCCCGGGCGCCUCGCGUGCCCCGGAUCAGGCGCCCGCCUAGGAAACUUAACUCUUGUUUUAUUUGGAAUCUUCUGAGUAGUUUUUACAAAUAAAUAAAAACUUUCAACAACGGAUCUCUUGGUUCUGGCAUCGAUGAAGAACGCAGCGAAAUGCGAUAAGUAAUGUGAAUUGCAGAAUUCAGUGAAUCAUCGAAUCUUUGAACGCACAUUGCGCCCGCCAGUAUUCUGGCGGGCAUGCCUGUCUGAGCGUCAUUUCAACCCUCAUGCCCCUAGGGCGUGGUGUUGGGGAUCGGCCAAAGCCCGCGAGGGACGGCCGGCCCCUAAAUCUAGUGGCGGACCCGUCGUGGCCUCCUCUGCGAAGUAGUGAUAUUCCGCAUCGGAGAGCGACGAGCCCCUGCCGUUAAACCCCCAACUUUCCAAGGUUGACCUCAGAUCAGAG
rnacentral:rRNA from 1 species